UACGUAGGGGGCAAGCGUUGUCCGGAAUUAUUGGGCGUAAAGAGCGUGUAGGCGGUCCGGUAAGUCAGCUGUGAAAGUCAAGGGCUCAACCCUUGAAUGCCGGUUGAUACUGUCGGGCUAGAGUCCGGAAGAGGCGAGUGGAAUUCCCGGUGUAGCGGUGAAAUGCGUAGAUAUCUGGAGGAACACCGGUGGCGAAGGCGGCGUCCUGGACCAACACUGACACUGAUGAGCGAAAGCCAGGGAGCAACGGG
rnacentral:rRNA from 1 species